rnacentral:rRNA from 1 species
GAUGAACGCUGGCGGCGUGCCUAAUACAUGCAAGUCGAGCGAACAGACGAGGAGCUUGCUCCUUUGACGUUAGCGGCGGACGGGUGAGUAACACGUGGAUAACCUACCUAUAAGACUGGGAUAACUUCGGGAAACCGGAGCUAAUACCGGAUAACAUGUUGAACCGCAUGGUUCAACAGUGAAAGACGGUCUUGCUGUCACUUAUAGAUGGAUCCGCGCCGCAUUAGCUAGUUGGUAAGGUAACGGCUUACCAAGGUAACGAUGCGUAGCCGACCUGAGAGGGUGAUCGGCCACACUGGAACUGAGACACGGUCCAGACUCCUACGGGAGGCAGCAGUAGGGAAUCUUCCGCAAUGGGCGAAAGCCUGACGGAGCAACGCCGCGUGAGUGAAGAAGGUCUUCGGAUCGUAAAACUCUGUUAUUAGGGAAGAACAAAUGUGUAAGUAACUAUGCACGUCUUGACGGUACCUAAUCAGAAAGCCACGGCUAACUACGUG